AGUACAUGUGUGUGUUGUUGUGCAGACAAAGACAUACAGACAAGUGCAAAAAGCAAAUCAUCCUUUCCUUCACAGAAUUUAUUGUUCAGGCUGAGUAUUGACACAUAAAAGGAAUAUUAUG
ensembl:snoRNA